UUCAGAUAUCGUUAGCGGGGUUGGUUUGUUAAAGAAUAGUGAAAUGCUUGGGAAAGGUUUUACAGUACGUACAAACAGAACAGUCACAGCAACAUGCAUGUGUUUGUAUUGGGAUAAAUAUAUGUGCAUACAUAUGUAUGUAUAUAUGUGCUGUACAUUGUGUAUGUAUGUAUGUGUUUGCAUUUAUCUCUACGCGAUUUUAUUUCUUGUUCUUUUGACAAUUCUUUGCCAAAAGGUAGGGCGCGUCUGAGCAAGGGUUCGUGACGUCAACGCACUCGCGCAGCUGUUGCCCGACUGUCAGUCAGUCAGUCACUCAGUCAGUCAGUCAUGCAGUCAGUAGUUGUCUUCUUAUUGCGUCUCCUUCGAAUCCGCAUCCAUUAUACAAAACAGCUAGAGGGCCCUAGCGGUCGAUAAUUUUCCAUCAAGGUGACACAGUUUGGAAACGCAAAUUCUGCGUCUCCGCUCAAUGAAACAUUGCAUUGUCAAUGAAACAUUGCAGAAAUCGGCAAACUGUGCCUUUAAAUAUUUAAUUCAUUUUCCGCUUCCUGUAAUUGAUAUGCACUCUUGUUUACACCUCCCACCUAAAAUUGUCCACUCGCGUGGGUGCCGUUGCUAGUCCAAGAGAUUUGUGUAAAGCCCCAGCAAAGUUCUGAUCAGCACGUAUGGCGAGAAUGCUGAAAUGGAGCUAAUUGGAAAACGGUAAAUCAAUUGUCUUUCCAGUUGAGAAUACAUGUACGCUUAAUGAAGUUGCGAAAUUGAGGAUAUAUUCUUUAACAUAAAUAAAUAAAUAAAAUUUAGAUUUAUUUCAGAUAUGUUUAUAAAAUGCAUCUAAACAAUUAGAGUUUGGUCAGGGAAUUCAUUUGAAUUGUGUAAUCGAUGUAAUGUGUAAGUUAAGAAACACAAGAUAGCGCUUUUUGGCCUCCUUCCUUAAAAGGUAGCAAUCUAUGGUCCAAUCAAACUCUCAGUUCUUCCCACAGUUUGGCCUCAUCCGUUAACCCAAUGUAAUAUAUAAAACGAGCGCUAAGCGGAGCUGAGCUGCUUCGUUUAGUUCAAACCCAGCCCCAGUCGUAGCCCCGGGAUCAGCCCAGCCCAGCCCAGUUCAGAUAAAAAAUCACACACGCUGCACUGGCUACUUGUCAUUGCGAAAAAUUCGAGGUGUGUGCAGAGCGAGUGGGUUGUGUAUACAGGUAUAUACAUAUGUAUGUAUGUAUGUAUGUGUGUGUGUGUGUGUGUAACCAGGCACAACCAACGAACCGAGCAACCAUCGAAAAAUCGUCGCCUGACCCAUGCCAAUGCAAUCUCAGCUGUUGGAAAUGCAAUUGCCAUUACAUUUUGUAUCUUGUAAAUGUCAUUGGCCAUUGCCCAACUGCCAACGCGUCCGACUGACUGCCCGUCGAAAUACACGUAUCCGCGGCUCACUCACAUUAAAUUACAUUACGUACACUCCUUUUGUUUGCAAUAUAUAUAUAUAUUUAAAUUGCGCUGCCACAGCUAUAGCAAAGAUGCGAGCCAUCUAAUGGCUCAAAACAAAUGGCAAAGUUCAAACGAGGUUAACAGCAUCUCAAGCUACAGCGGCCAGCGGGCAGUAGGCAGGAGCACUCCUGCCCCGAGUCUGUCCCAGUCCGAAUCUGAGUCCAAGUCCGGGGCCACCAAAAUGGAUGCAACUACGGCCAAAGCUAACGCAAACAAAGCCAGCAAAACUAAACAAAAUCAACGAAUGAGUGAAGCCGAACAAAAAAUAUAUGAUCUUAAUAGGACGAUAUUAGACUAAAUCAUACCCUAUAGCUGAUUUCUAUGAAGAUUUCCUAGAAUGGAAAUCUUGAAUGAAAUCUUUUUUUUUAGUUUUGAGGUUCAAUGAGAACAAUAUCGUAUACAGACUGGUAGAUCGCCAAUGAAUGUAUGUAGAUCCCUAUUCAAUCGUAAAAUCGUAAUUCUUUGUAGGAGAUUAUUUACAUCGGAUAUCCUGCCUCUAGCUCAUUUAGAUACAGUUUUCCUCUGUCUCCCAUGCAAUAUUCCUUAUUUCCCAGCCAGCCAGCCCUGAUAACAGGGUGUAUAAAAAAGGCCCAAAAGCAUCUUAAACGACAGGCAGUGGUAACAUGACCAUAGUAAGAUAGUUACAGCUUCAGCUUCAGCCUCAACUUCAGCUUCAGCUUCAAUAAAACGACAUGCGCACAAAUCUGUGGACGUCUGCCGAAGUGGAGGCACAUAUAAAAACCUUUCUAACGAUCGUUUACCUCUCGCAAAAUGUAACAAAGGAGUCGGGCGAAAAGUUGCCUGGGCCAGCUUGGCCUGGCUUGGCUUGGCUAUGACUAUGGCUCGGCUGUGCGCUUUCUUGGCCGGGCCAGUUGAUGCGGGCCAAGCCUAGGCCGAGCGCCCACUUCCUACUUGUUGCUCUCUUCGUGCUGCCAAGCGCUGCAGGCACUGCUGCUGAUGCUGCCCACAAAACUUAGAAGCCAUACACACGUACUAACUUGGCCAACGCGGGCCAAGCUAAGAAUUUGAUUUUAUGCUGCUGCUGCUGUUGCACAGCCAUAGUUGGAGCAUGGCAGCUGCCGCUUAAGUUGACCAUAAUGUGUUGGCCAUUUGCCCCUUUGCAUACGCCACUGAGCCAAAAUGCCAGCCGCCCGCCGCCUGACACUUGGACGGACCACGAACCGCUCACCUAAAAAAAUACAGAAACAAAAAAAUAAUACAAAAAAAAUAAAUAAAUAAAACGGCAACCAAAAACCGAAGUUCAGGCAAACGGGGGAAAAUAUAUAAAAGGAAAGAGUAAUAACCAGUUUUGUCUCCCAAAAAAGCCAAACAAAUGAAGUCAAGCUGAGCUAAAAACAAGAAAACUAAAAGAGCUACACGAGUUGCAGCGAAUGCGAAAUACCCUGAUGAUUGGAUGAAUAUUGUUAGAUAGACAAUAGAAUUAUGAAAGAGCUAUUAAUUAGAUAAGAUUUGAAGUCUGGUAACAAAGUUAACAAAGUUGGCAUAAAACUAUGUUGUAAAUUUUCACUUUACACUAGAUAUCUAUAGGAACUGGAAAAUUAUAUAGUGAAUUAUUAUAGCUAGAGAUGUGGAACAAAAAGAAUUGUUGAAUUUGUUAAAUUGUUUAAAAAAUAUAAAACAAAGUUAUACCACAUAUAUAUAAAGCUAGCCCUAUACUAUAGAUUAUACCCUAUAAAGGGAUCCAACUAACGCCCACAUUUGUGUAAGCAAGCAUAAAAAAUAUUUCCUUAAAAUGUGCUCAAGCUGCCCUCAUAUUAACCAAGUUAGGAUAGUUCGGAAUAGACUUUUAUUAAUAGUUCAUCGAUAAAAACUAGCUAGUUUUUAAAGCCGCGCACAUAUCUCAUUACAAAAGUAAAGUACGCUAUGUGCAGGGUAUCUAAAGAACGUACCUCAUGUUUACGAGUAGAAGCUAAAGCAAACUUGAGGCCAAAAACAGCGAUCGAGCGUACCUCGGCCACAGAUGGGGCCUACACUCUGCUGGAGAGUGCACAGGGAGACAGAGAGCAAGAGAGUGAGAGAGAGGGAGAGGAGAGGAGAGCAGAGCCAUGUGCUGGGUCGGGUCGGACGCUCUUCAGCUACAGCUUUAACUUCAACGGCCAUCAUCAGAUAGAGGCAGGCAGCGAGAGGCAACCAGCCAAGAGCCAAGAGCUAAGAGCCUAGUACAGUUGAAUUGAAGUUGUGGCAAACGGGUAUUGAGGGAGUUGGCAGUAGGUCUUGCCAUGGCUUGGUCUUCGUCGUCCUCUUCCACUUCAUCUUCGUCUACAGUGUUCUGUCUUCGGUCUUCGGUCUCUGGUGUUGCUUUCGGCUGUUGGCUGUGUCUCUGCAGCAUUGUAGGAGUUUUGGCUACACAGAAGUUUAGUUACAUGCUCAUUACAUAGAUGCAGAGCGAGCGAGUGAGAAGGCGAGAGAGGGACAGAUAGACGGAGAGCGAGUACAGCGAGUACAAUGUAUGUGGCCAGCUAUAGAUACAUACAAUUUAUGUAUUGCAGAUACAUAGAUAGAAGCGUAGCUCUGGUACUUGGCCCGAACUGGCUUUGGCGCGGAUGCUGCUGCGGCUACGGCUGCUGUUGCUGCCUUUCUAAACUUCUAGCUUUUCCGAUGCUUAUCGCAGCUAACAAAAAAUAGAAGAAUACGAAAAUAAAUAGAAGAAGCAGAAAAGAAAAAAAAAAACGUAAGCUGAACUCCCACAAAAAGCGAGCGCUGCAUUUCUUUGGCCUAGCUUUGGCCUGAUCCCCUCAGCUUUAAAGCAGAUCUUUCUUUUCACAUGCAUAAAUUGUGUACAAAAAGCAGCUUCUCAGUGCGGGGAUCAUUAGUUUUGAAAUUUUUAUGCAUUGUAUGCUCUGCUAUAUAUACACACGUAUAUAUAUAUAUAUAUAUAGCCUGACUUGUUUGCGAUGGUGCAGGACUUGAUUGUGGCCACGACUCUAUAGUUCAGGCUCUCUUCCUGCUCGUGUAAUUGUGAAAACAAUUUAGACGAAUUUUCCAGUUCAAUUGCGCUUUUAAUUUAAAUUGCAGCAAACUUGGCUCGAAUUGCUGUUGCAGUUGUCGUCGUCGUCUUCAUCAAUUGUCAGUGCUUAGUUUUCUUUUCCCUCUUCUUCUUCUUCAUCUUCUUCUUCUUGGUUUCAUGCGCGAAAAUUUUCGUAGAUCUUAAGCGAGUUUCAGCCCAAACUUGGCCAACUCGGCCAACUUGACUGUCAAAUUUGAUUCUUGGCCAAGGCGCAUGUCAAUUGACUACGUCUCGGACAAGACUAGUUAAUUAACGUUCAGACAAUUGAUGGAGUAGAGCAAUGUCAGCUGUUAGUGCCUCAAAUGGCUUGAAGGGUUAAUAAGCGGCAAAAGCACAUAUUGAGGCUAAAAGUUCGCACAAAUGUUGCCUAUUUGUGUAAAUGAAACAAUUAUUGGGUAUUCUCCCUAACUAUUAUUAUCAUAAAGCUUAACAUCCAAUAAAUAGAAAAUUAAUAGGAAUGCAUUGCAUAUCAUUUAAAUGCAAUUAUAUGGUAAACUAUGGAUCUUAUAGCUGUGGGAGCGAAUUGUUCAAGUGAAAUAAAACUCAUUUGUUUAUAAAUUUCUGACUAGUCUGCCAGCUCCAUAAAAUGUAGACAUAUAAACAUUUAGCUUUUGAGCUUGUAAAUUGAGUAUAUACAUAUACAACUUGAUGUCAAAUGAUCAUAAACUGUUAUUGCUGUAUGUUGAGCUUAAAGAAAAACAAAGUCGGAACAUUGUUUGUUUUCUAUAAUGUUUAGUUUAUCUAAGCUAAAGAUAUACUACACCCAAGACGUUAAGACCUAAAGACUACAAAAAAGAAUGCAACAGCUUUGACGCCUGCUUGGACUGGGCAAACAUUUUGGCCAUCUCGAGAGUGUGAAGAGAGCAGCGAUGCGUAACGGCCUUUCUCUGUUUGGACAUAGAUUUAGGAGGCAUAGACGAGGUGUGUGUGUGUGUGUGUGUGUGUGUGUGAGUGUUCUCUGUUCCACUUGAAGUUCAACUGAAGUGAGCAGCAUUAAGUUUAA